rnacentral:rRNA from 1 species
GAGGAAUAUUGGUCAAUGGGCGCAAGCCUGAACCAGCCAUCCCGCGUGCAGGAAGAAGGCGCUAUGCGUUGUAAACUGCUUUUCCAGGGGGCGAACCUCCCGCACGAGUGCGGGACUGACGGUACCUUGGGAAUAAGCAUCGGCUAACUCCGUGCCAGCAGCCGCGGUAAUACGGAGGAUGCGAGCGUUAUCCGGAUUUAUUGGGUUUAAAGGGUGCGUAGGCGGAUUAAUAAGUCAGUGGUGAAAACCUGCAGCUUAACUGGGGAACUGCCGUUGAUACUGGUAGUCUUGGGUAUGGUCAAGGUAGGCGGAAUGUGUAAUGUAGCGGUGAAAUGCUUAGAUAUUACACAGAACACCGAUUGCGAAGGCAGCUUACUGGGCCGUUACUGACGCUGAUGCACGAAAGCGUGGGGAUCGAAC